AUGGGCCUCUGAGCGAUUCAGUUUUAAAACAUAUCUGAAUGAAAAAUAAAGACCUAAAUACCCACGUACGUAACACACGUUCCUUGCAUCUUCUCUUCUCUUCUGGCGGCCACCAUCCAAGCAAAUCAACUGCCGAUUCCAAGCAAAACUUCGAUCACAACCAGAAAUGGCACAAAAAAGGGUAGGAUUAGUUGGAAGCAAGAGAGUGUUGACAAAACAUUUCUUGAAGCAUGUAUUGUAGAAGUAACACUCCAUGGCCGUGAAGGAAGCAGCCUUAAACAAAGCUCAUGGAAGAAUGUGGCGGAAAAGUUGAAAACCGAACACAAUUUCAUAGCGGAUCAAAAACAAAUGAAGAACCACUAUGAUUAUCUAAAAUCAAAAUUUGCUGCUUGGUCAAAGCUUAAGAACAAAACUGGCAACGUUUAUAAUCCUGUAACAAACACCUUUAACUUGUCAAAAGAAGAAUGGUAACUAGAGAUAAAGUCAAACAAAUACGUAGAAGCUUUGAGAAGCGCGCCACUUUCUUUCCCCGAGCUUUGUGUUCAACUGUUUGAGGGAUCUACUUCGAACGGCUUUGACAGUUGGGGGCCAUCUUCUACACUUCCUCAUCCUUCUGUGGAAAUGUUUGACCACAAUUUAAAUGGUAUUGAGGAUAUUGAGUGCGGUCAAAUGGAACCCCCAACUCAAGGUUUUACUGAGGAGGCAUCCGGUCGCUCUAAAAAAAGGGAGAAACGAAAAGAUAAGGCAACAAUAGAUGAAGUUGGGGAUUGCAUUACUAAGGUGGCAAAGAUUUUGAUAGAGAAACACAAUCUUUCUAAUGAUAUUGAUACAUGCAUGGAGAAGUUGGAGACAAUGGGAUGGGGAGAGUUAGAUGUGAAAUAUCAAACAACACUUUUGCUUUUUGGUGAAAGUGCGGAUAUUAGGAAAGUGUCGUUACGACUUCAGCCGCAAAGUUGUGAGCUACAGGUCAAGAAUGCUGGAGCAAAGUAUGGAUUGAUCGGAUAGGGUUUUGUGGGUGUCACGUUAUGGAUGUUUUAUGCAUAGGGUUUUGUUGCACAAAUUGUUAUGGAUGUUUUUUUAGAUGAUUCUGUGGAUAAUUGUUAUGGAUGUUUUUUUAGAUGAUUAUGUGGAUAUUAUGU
rnacentral:lncRNA from 1 species